UCCUCCUCCUGCUCUUCCCCCCUCCCCAAACUCCCUCCCUCCACGCGGCUCUGCGCGCAGCCGUGGGAUCUCGGAGGAGGGCGUCCAUUAGGCCGCGUGUGACCAUGUAAGGGAGAAAAGGACAUGGUCAGCCAAAGAAAAUACUGCAAGUGCCAGCAAGAGAAUCUUAUGUGAUCACUUAGCAAGCCAAUUGUAUUUUGACCCUCUUCACUAUAUUUUGGAGCAUUCAAAUUUAAGUCCCUACAGGUGGAACUGAAUGUGGAGAAAAAGAAUCAAACUUUACAUCAACGCAUAAAUAGCAUUUUUCCCAAGCAAAUGAAACCUCCAAAUGGGACUAAAACUUGCACUCCUGAACAUCUUGUAACAGUGACUGGAAGUCCUAAUAUACCCAAUUUUCUUUCCUCUCUUUACUUCAUUACAGAAUUGGCACAGGAAACACUCCAUUCCUUGUUGGAAUACAGCCAUCUCCAGCACAGAGAGCAACAAACUCUUUAAUAGCUACACAAUAAAGCAUUUCACAAAGCUAUGUAAAGGCAGUCCGGGUCAAAGAAAGCUACUCUCCAGCACCAUUUCAAGCUGCAACUUAGCUGGUAUGCAUGUAGUCAGGGUGGCCAAGGAACCUCAGAUGUGCCCGUGUUUGGGGGCAGGAAUUACCUUUAAAGGAGGUAACUGAAUUAAAAUAAAGUCAUUAGUGUAGACCCUAGUCUACUGUGACAAGUGACCUUUUCAGACACAGAGGAAAGACCAAGUACAGACUCAUGGAGAAAAUGCUCAUCUAUAAAUGAGAGAGACAGAGAGACAGAGACAGAGAGAGACAGAGAGAAAGCGCUUAGAAGAAGCUGCUCUUGAUGGCACCUUGAACUUCAACUUCUAGAACUGUAGGGAAAAUGAUUUCUUUGUUGAACCCACCCAGUCUGUGGCAUUUGUUGUGGUGACACUUGCACGCCAAUUCAGCCACGGUGAUGGGCAACAGUAGCAGCCCUAUGUUUGGUUCUUUGAGUCCAGAAACCCCAAAUGUAGCAGGCAGCGAGCUCCAUGUCUGCACUGGCUGGCUAAUCUGGCUUCUCUCCCCGAGUGGCUGGAGUCUUCCCCUCAUCCACUCAUGGACUUAGUUAUUUUCAAACUCACAUACAAGAUAUGAUAACCUAAAUUAGUCCCAGCAGGAAGUAACUAAAGAGUUAGUUUCUUUCUGUGAUUGCACACAUGCACACAUGCAUUAAUAACUGAUAAAUAUUCUAAUAAGUGUUUUAAAGGUCAACAAGAGGCAAAUUCUUAGCAAGGCAAAGUGAUCACAUAAAUAAGCUGUGUGGGAGAAAGUCAGGGCCCAUUUAUGUUUUUCUCUCUCAGUCAUGUACUGACGCAUGAGGAUUUAUAUGAAUCUGUUGGGAAUAGUGAUAGCCUGUUCUGGACACGUUGGGGAGGGGGGCACGUCUUCCUUUAAUUCAGAGUGUGUAUUUGAGAAAAUUCCCACCAAGAUGUAUUAAACACAGGAAAUAGAGAGCAUUAAGUUAGGAACUGAAAUAAGUACAGCAAGAUGACUUUUCAGUCUGCAUGACAUUAUCCCACCGUGUCUGUGGGAUUUGGGUUCUUUGGGAGAGCUGUGCUCCAUCUGGACUUCCCAGCUUCUCUGAGGACAGAGAGUGGGGAGGAUCAAACAGACAGAUGUUGACCCAGAGGAUUCCCAGGCUGGCGGUGCAUCUACUGCUCUACGUCUUGACAAGGUGCCUCCAAGGCUACUUGGAGUAUACAUCUUCGAUACAUACAUGCCUCCAUUUCUUUCAAAGUGAUGUGCUUGUUCCACUUGUUAAUUCAGCGUGUGUGUGUGUGUGUGUGUGUGUGUGUGUGUGCGCGUGUGCGUGUGUGUGUGUGUGUGUGUGUGCGCGUGCGUGCGUGCGUGCGUGCGUGCGUGCGUGUGUGUGUGUGUGUGUGUGUGUUGUAAAGCAUUCUCAAAAAGAGCUUUUGUAAGAAUGACUUUAAUAUUCACUUUCUUCUCAUGGGUUUACCCGUGUUUUCCAUGUUCAUGAUCUUGUUGAGUAUGGCCUAGGAGGUAGGCAGAGUUUUACUGCCUGAACAUAUAUCUAUCCAUUGUGAGACUCUAUGGUUUUAAAAACUCAUGGAUUUUGUGUGUGUGAAGGAGCACAUGGUGUGCACUGCUUAUACUGAUUAUACCUAGAGCCACAAUGCCAACUUUCCAGAAAUUCUGCAAGGCUCACAUGCUAAACAGUAACAUAUGGGCUCCUUUUUUAGUUUUGGGCUCCAAAGUCUCUUUCCCAAUCCUUGAUUGGAAUUACACUCCAAGGUAUGGUCAAGUGUGACCUUUACAUCAUGGCAGAAGAAAGGAGUAGUGUGUGGCAGUUCAGCAUUCAGUGUUGUGACUUCUGUUCCUCCUUAUAUAUAACCAUAAAUAUAUGAGAUAAGCUAGGGCAAAAGUCUCCUCCUCAUGGUGUCCAUAGGAAGCAUGUUUGGCUCAGUAGAUCCUUUCAUUCCAUGUUUGGUUAUUUUUCUUUGUACUAAAUUUAAGUCAAGUUAAAAUCACUUCUUAUUGCUUAAAAUACUAAGUUUGAGAUGAUCUGCUGUAACGAAGCCCUUUAUCUACCUGGUCUCUCUUAAAAUAGCUUCUUACUUGAGCAAUAGGGGAGCAUAAAUUCAGGGUUGUGAAAUUUAAUGCCUUCAUCUUUUCUUGUUUCUGCUUUCUCCUGGAACACUUCUAGAUCGCCUAAAGUAGUUUUGUCCUGUAAACAUAUACUGUGUAAGACCUAUACAGUUAUUUUUCUUCGAAACAAAUCAGAUAUCACCAUACAAGUGAAUUAGGGAAUAAAUCCAAGGAUUUCUUUUUCUCCCACUGGUGAAAGGGGACUUUGCAGAUCAGAGCAAGAAUGAAGAGCAUUGUGCUUUGGGUCAAGCUACACCUACUGUCCUGAGGAGGACACAGCAUGGUCAAUCUGAAGGCUCCAUCAUCCCCCUGGAGACAAACCACACAUUCCGUAUUCCCUUACAUUGUCUAUGUCAUGACCCACAGUGUCCACUUUACAAGAUGGCCGUAUUACAUGAUAUGCCUCAGUCAUAAAGCCAGUGUUUUCUUUAUAUUUAGCAUAAUGGUUUCUAGAGACUGCAAGUCACACAAUCCUGGCAUACAAAUACAGGGUGAGACCUCAGAAAUCAUCUAAUAAGUUCAGGCCUUGCUCUUUCUAGUUGAGGAAGUCACAGCCCAGAGAGGUGAGGCGUCUUUUCACUGAGAAAUCAUCAGCAUGUAUCCUGGCUGGUUUUGUAUCAACCUGACACAAGCUAGAGUCAUCAAAGGAAGGAGCCUCAGCUGAGGAAAUGCCUCCAUGAGAUCCAGCUGUAAGGCAUUUUCUCAACUAGUGAUCAACGGGGAAGGACCCAUCCCAUGAUGGGUGGGGCCAUCUCUGGGCUUGGGGGGUCCUGGAUUCUGUAAGAAAGCAGGCUGAAUAAGCCAUGGGGAAUGAGCCGGUAAGCAGCACUUCAUGGCCUCUUCAUCAGUUCCUGCCUCCAGGAUCCUACCCUGUUUGAGUUCUUGUCCUGACUUCCUUCAAUGAUGAAUAGCAAUAUGAAAGUGUAAGCCAAAUAAACUCUUUCCUCCCCAA